GCCCCGACUGUUCGGAGGAGUGCUAUAACAGGCAGACAGGAGACAGUCAUUGCUGGGGAAGUGCACCAGGAAUGUGUCAAAAACUGAACUUCAUAUCGGCGGUCUGUGACAGUUCAUGCGAUGGGAGAUGUUUUGGUAAAGAGCAGGAUGAAUGUUGUCAUCCUGAAUGCGCAGGAGGUUGUGUAGGACCCGGAAGGGAGCAAUGUCUAGCGUGUAAGAAUUUCUACUUCGAGGGUUCC